CUGGAAGAGCACCAGGUAAGGGUACAAGAAGGCAAAAGAUGCAGAGUCCAGCACAAGCUGAUUCAGGGAUCCACUAGAUCACUACCACCCAGGCACCCACCAUGGCACCAUUCGAGUAGUUUGACUUUCACGUAUCAUUCAGAGAUAAUUUCACCUUACCCUUCUCUAAGUGAAGGCCAACUCUCAGCGUGUUCUCCCCACGACCCGCUGGUCGCGGAUAUUCACCCAGAUGAGGACUUUUAAAAAAUUGCCUGA
rnacentral:lncRNA from 1 species